AGACCAGAGCUAGCAGUACCCCGUCUAUAUAGCUUAGGGAGCCCUCUACACUGGUGGAGGCACGGGACCGCGGCAAGGGGAUCACUUAGCUACCUAGCAAGGAGCGUUUCUUUUGCAUUUUGGUAGUUCACUCUCCUUUUGUUGUAGUAGAGAGAGAGAGUUAUGUUAGUACCUUGUAUAGAGAGACCACCUAUGUAUCUGGUUUAGCAUUUGUACUUUGGAUGUUUAUUGUACUACUUCCUGUUUCUACCUAGUGGAUUUAGCUCUAUAUUCA